rnacentral:lncRNA from 1 species
AUGCCUCCUAUGGAGCUCUCCCCAGCCGGCAUCUGGGCCUCAUCCAAGUCCUCCUCGCUUCCCCCUGGCUCCAUGAGGGUCCCAGUGCCGACCUUCGGGGCCUCAAGGACACACAAGAACAUGCACAGGAGGAAAGGGGGGGAUGGGACUCUGGGGGAGGGGCUUCACACAUACACACAAACACGCACGUGCACGCACACAUCACACAACCACACACCACACAACCACACGUGCACACACCACACAACCACACACAUUUGCACACAUUACACACAGCCACACACGUGCACACGCACAGCACAACCACACACACCACACAACCACACACACACCACACAACCACACAUGUGCACACACACCACACACAACCACACCUGUGCACACACUGCAACCACACACAACCACGCACAUGUGCACACACAUGUGCACGCACACACCACACACAUGUGGACACACCACACACCAAUGUGCACGUGCACACCACAACCACACACGUGCACACACAACUACACAUGGACACACCACAUACACAUCACACACGUGCACACACACCACACACAACCACACAGGUGCACACACAACUACGCAUGGACACACCACAUACACAUCACACACAGGUGCACACACACCACAUACAUACCACACACAACCACACACGUGCACACGCAACCACACACGUGCACACACCACAUAUGCAUCACACACCACACACAUGCACACACACCACAUACACACACACACACACACACACACACACGCCCCGUGUGGGUCCUCCAAGCAACACACUCCACUGAGUCAUGCCAGAGAAAUGCAAAGAAUGGAAAGAAUUCUGCACGUUUACUCUCUGGCUGGGCUCCUCCACCUCCAAGAAAUUCCCCAUCCAGUGCCCUGGCCCCUUCUGGGGCCCAGAGUGCCCUCCUGUCCCCGCCGCCCUGCCCUGAUCAGGUGUGGGAGUGGUUGGGGUCCCAGAAGAACCCAUUUCUCAGGGCUGUGGGUGCCAGGUCCAGCUUGGGCCCAGGAGGACCAGCUCAGCCCACAGCCCACCCUUCUGUGUCAGCUCUGCCAGGUCGGGCCCCCAGACGGUGGGAGUGA